GACGAACGCUGGCGGCGUGCUUAACACAUGCAAGUCGAACGAAGUGGCGAACGGGUGAGUAAUACGUGGGUAACCUGCCCUCCUUUUUGGGAUACGCCUUGGAAACGGGGUCUAAUCCCGGCAAAAGGGGGAUGGGCUCGCGGCCUAUCAGCUGGUUGGUGGGGUGAUUGCCUAACAAGGCGGUGACGGGUCGCCGGCCUGAGAGGGUGACCGGCCACUUAGGGACGGACAUACGGCCCAGAGGCCGACGGGAGGCGGCAGUGUGGGAUAUUGCACAAAGGGCGAAGGCCGGAUGCCGCGACGCCGCAUGGGGGAUGAAGGCUGUCGGGUUGUAAACCUCUUUCGCGAGCGAACGGGUAGGUAGAGAAGAAGCGCCGGCUAACUACGUGCCAGCAGCCGCGGUAAUAC
rnacentral:rRNA from 1 species